rnacentral:lncRNA from 10 species
CCGCCACCUGUGACCAGCAGCUGAUGCCUCCUUGGCCACCAGACCAUGGGCCAAGAGCCGCCGUGGCUAUACCUGGGGACUUGAUGUUCCUUCCAGAUUGUGGUGGGCCCUGAGUCCUGGUUUCCUGGCAGCCUGCUGCGCGUGUGGGUCUCUGGGCACAGUGGGCCUGUGUGUGUGCCCGUGUGUGUGUAUGUGUGUGUGUAUGUUUCUUAGCCCCUUGGAUUCCUGCACGAAGUGGCUGAUGGGAACCAUUUCAAGACAGAUUGUGAAGAUUGAUAGAAAAUCCUUCAGCUAAAGUAACAGAGCAUCAAAAACAUCACUCCCUCUCCCUCCCUAACAGUGAAAAGAGAGAAGGGAGACUCUAUUUAAGAUUCCCAAACCUAAUGAUCAUCUGAAUCCCGGGCUAAGAAUGCAGACUUUUCAGACUGACCCCAGAAAUUCUGGCCCAGCCAAUCUAGAGGCAAGCCUGGCCAUCUGUAUUUUUUUUUUUCCAAGACAGAGUCUUGCUCUGUUGCCCAAGCUGGAGUGAAGUGGUACAAUCUGGCUCACUGCAGCCUCCGCCUCCCGGGUUCAAGCGAUUCUCCCGCCUCAGCCUCCUGAGUAGCUGGGAUUACAGGCGCGUAUCACCAUACCCAGCUAAUUUUUGUAUUUUUAGUAGAGACGGGUUCACCAUGUUGCCCAGGAGGGUCUCGAACUCCUGGCCUCAAGUGAUCCACCGGCCUCGGCCUCCCAAAGUGCUGGGAUGACAGGCAUGAAUCACUGUGCUCAGCCACCAUCUGGAGUUUUAAAAGGCUCCCAUGUGAGUCCCUGUGAUGGCCAGGCCAGGGGACCCCUGCCAGUUCUCUGUGGAAGCAAGGCUGGGGUCUUGGGUUCCUGUAUGGUGGAAGCUGGGUGAGCCAAGGACAGGGCUGGCUCCUCUGCCCCCGCUGACGCUUCCCUUGCCGUUGGCUUUGGAUGUCUUUGCUGCAGUCUUCUCUCUGGCUCAGGUGUGGGUGGGAGGGGCCCACAGGAAGCUCAGCCUUCUCCUCCCAAGGUUUGAGUCCCUCCAAAGGGCAGUGGGUGGAGGACCGGGAGCUUUGGGUGACCAGCCACUCAAAGGAACUUUCUGGUCCCUUCAGUAUCUUCAAGGUUUGGAAACUGCAAAUGUCCCCUUGAUGGGGAAUCCGUGUGUGUGUGUGUGUGUGUGUGUGUGUGUGUGUGUGUGUGUGUGUGUUUUCUCCUAGACCCGUGACCUGAGAUGUGUGAUUUUUAGUCAUUAAAUGGAAGUGUCUGCC